AGUGAACGCUGGCGGUAGGCCUAACACAUGCAAGUCGAACGGCAGCACAGUAAAAGCUUGCUCUUACGGGUGGCGAGUGGCGGACGGGUGAGGAAUACAGCGGAAUCUACUUUUUCGUGGGGGAUAACGUAGGGAAACUGACGCUAAUACCGCAUACGACCUACGGGUGAAAGCAGGGGAUCUUCGGACCUUGCGCGAUUGAAUGAGCCGAUGUCGGAUUAGCUAGUUGGCGGGGUAAAGGCCCACCAAGGCGACGAUCCGUAGCUGGUCUGAGAGGAUGAUCAGCCACACUGGAACUGAGACACGGUCCAGACUCCUACGGGAGGCAGCAGUGGGGAAUAUUGGACAAUGGGCGCAAGCCUGAUCCAGCCAUACCGCGUGGGUGAAGAAGGCCUUCGGGUUGUAAAGCCCUUUUGUUGGGAAAGAAAAGCAGCAGGUUAAUACCCCGCUGUUCUGACGGUACCCAAAGAAUAAGCACCGGCUAACUUCGUG
rnacentral:rRNA from 1 species